rnacentral:rRNA from 1 species
CCUCUGGGUUGUAAACUUCUUUUAUCUGGGACGAAAAAAGCUCAUUCUUGAGCACUUGACGGUACCAGAGGAAUAAGCACCGGCUAACUCCGUGCCAGCAGCCGCGGUAAUACGGAGGGUGCAAGCGUUAUCCGGAUUCACUGGGUUUAAAGGGUGCGUAGGUGGGUCUGUAAGUCAGUGGUGAAAUCUCCGAGCUUAACUCGGAAACUGCCAUUGAUACUAUAGAUCUUGAAUCAUCUGGAGGUAAGCGGAAUAUGUCAUGUAGCGGUGAAAUGCUUAGAUAUGACAUAGAACACCAAUUGCGAAGGCAGCUUACUACGGGUGUAUUGACACUGAGGCACGAAAGCGUGGGGAUCAAACAGGAUUAGAUACCCUGGUAGUCCACGCCCUAAACGAUGGAUACUCGACAUCAGCGAUACACUGUUGGUGUCUGAGCGAAAGCAUUAAGUAUCCCACCUGGGAAGUAC